GUGGUGUUAAGCAUGACGUUAAUGUGAAAGUAUCAUACCCAUAAAAUUCUUUGUGGAGAAAUAGAAAUUUGUUUUUUCACUGCCCUUAGUUCACCAACAGGAUAUGAAACAUGGAAACACUUCUCUUAAAAACUGAACUGAGGACCACCGGAUGCCCAAAUGACAUUGCCAACCAAGAUUCUCUUGAGAGAAUUUCUCAUACAGGAAUGAUCUCCCAAGGAAGCCGACUAAGUCUCAACCACCUUGUUCUCUGCAGUUUUCAGUUCAGUUAAGCUCUGGGAAUUGCAGGGAGAUGCAAGUUUUGGUUUUGGCAAAGAAUCGACCAAGAAUUGUAACAGAGAAUUGAAGUUUAAGGCAAAAAUUGAGCCAAGGUAGCCAUCAAGUAGGUAUUUACUUUCAAAAUAAUUACACAACCUAAUGAACCAGAACUCUGUCUACACCAUAGAUUUGGAAUUGCAGUCUUCAUUAGCGUUUUGCAAAAUUACAUCUUUGGUGGUAUGCUUGAUGGUCAGGUUGUGAUUCCAACUGUUCUGGCAAAAACUCAUUAAGUGUCAGCAAAUAAUGGGAAUGAAAGAAAGCAGAAAAAAUCAAGAGGCAAUGAUGAGCUAGUAAAGGCAAGAUAUAUUUUCAUUCUCUGUGUAAACAGAGUUGCAAUUGCCAUUUCAAUGCUUAUGUAUAAAUGACAACUGGUCUAUUAGGAGAGCAUUUUAUAUCUGUAUACUGUAACUUUGCGGGCAUGCAGGUGGUGGGCAACGUGCAGCAAGUAUUAAAUGGAUAAAUACGCAUAAAGAUAGUAUUUGGCAGGGUAAGAUACGGAAGACUGGCAGAGGGGCUCUUGGUGCCACAACACAGCAAGCUCUGUGCAUCUUGUUGGAUUAAAGACUAGAUUUGUGUCUUAGCCAAUAUAAUGUCAUGUUGAGUUAUGUAAAUCCCAUCACAGAAAUGCAAACACAAUGCAGCAGCAGCGUUCUUUGGCAUGGACUUUUCAGCUGUUUUCCUGAAACUGAUUUGAUGUCUUGC